rnacentral:lncRNA from 1 species
UGGACUAAAAUCAGGUGGACUAAGACACAAAUGGAAAUAACCAGUACUCUUGAUUACGCUCAUUUGAAUGGAAUUUGGGAUAACAUCUGCUGCCCCCUUUAAAGUGUGAGCGGACCUACAGCUUUGAGCUCACGGACCUCUCCUCUCCUGAUGUUCACCGAAAGAGUUGUUGCUCCUGGGUCAGCAGGUGCCGAAGASCCCCCUGCCCUGCGCGCUGCCCGCACACCCUGGGCCGGGGCGGGCUGAAUCCCACUCCUGGCCAGGCUUUUCGGCCAUCCACCCUUGGAGCCUGGAGAAACCAGAAUCCCAGAAGCAGAAGAAAGUCUGACCACGUUAUCUGUUCAACAUCUCUCUGUUUUCUUCAUGGCCAGACUUUCUGGGUGUCUCAGCUGGCAACUUUGUGCAGGCUUCUAGUUUCCUUCCUCACUGAAAAAAGUGUGCAAUUGGGACCUGUCUUUUACCAGCGUACAGAAAAGAAGCUGAUUGRAGCCAAAGUCGUCAGCAGACACCUCCUCUCCACCCUUAGAUGUACAGAUACCUCCUUCAGAAAUAAGAAGCAGAAGAAAAACAUCCAAGCAGAAGAAUUGGAAGGCAAAGGGAAAGAAACGGAUGGGGAUUGCAACUGAAAAAUUAAUGAAGAGAGACCUCGUUUCACAAAGCUUAUAUAAAGUCGGGCUGCAUCUGUGCAAGAAACAGUGACCYAGAAAGAGACAUCUGCAAAACUUUACAGCAAGGUGCAAAACUUGGUAGCCUCUUUCUCUCUGAGUCACACCUACACUAGCACACAAGGAUCCCUCGUUUACAGCCACUGGAAACUUACCUUUAAACUUUCUACCUCUUUCCUCCCUCUUCUACAAGGUACUGACUCGGGAAGUCCGGCUCUCCAGUGCACACCAAGAAGUCCAUUGCUGAGUGCAAGUUCAGAGAAACUGGUUUGUGUUCCUGGAACAGCUUAUGCCACAUUUAUCUUGAGAUAUCAGACUUCCUAAUGUAGCUAUUUUUUUUCCCGUCCAUUUAUCAUGUAUGCAUAUUAGUACUUAGCUUCUGGCCAAGAUGAAACCUUUUCUAAUACUACUCCCGUCCAUCUGGCUGCCCUGAUGAAAAUUCUUUUUCUGGAAUGCUUGGAUUUGUUCCCAGUAUAGGUAAGCUGGUAAAUUUGUGCUUGUGGGUGUAUAAGAGCAGCAGAAAUCUGCAGGAGUCGCUCUUAAAAAUAAAAAUAAAAAAGGCAACCUGGAUAGUGCA